rnacentral:rRNA from 1 species
GACGAACGCUGGCGGCGUGCUUAACACAUGCAAGUCGAACGGAAAGGCCCUGCUUUUGUGGGGUGCUCGAGUGGCGAACGGGUGAGUAACACGUGAGUAACCUGCCCUUGACUUUGGGAUAACUUCAGGAAACUGGGGCUAAUACCGGAUAGGAGCUCCUGCUGCAUGGUGGGGGUUGGAAAGUUUCGGCGGUUGGGGAUGGACUCGCGGCUUAUCAGCUUGUUGGUUGGGUAGUGGCUUACCAAGGCUUUGACGGGUAGCCGGCCUGAGAGGGUGACCGGCCACAUUGGGACUGAGAUACGGCCCAGACUCCUACGGGAGGCAGCAGUGGGGAAUAUGGCACAAUGGGCGGAAGCCUGAUGCAGCAACGCCGCGUGCGGGAUGACGGCCUUCGGGUUGUAAACCGCUUUCGCCUGUGACGAAGCGUGAGUGACGGUAAUGGGUAAAGAAGCACCGGCUAACUACGUG